rnacentral:rRNA from 1 species
GAUGAACGCUGGCGGCGUGCCUAACACAUGCAAGUCGAGCGGCAGCGAGGGGUGCUUGCACCCUGUCGGCGAGCGGCGGACGGCUGAGUAACGCGUGGGAACGUGCCCCAAAGUGAGGAAUAACUGCCCGAAGGGGUAGCUAAUACCGCAUAUUAUCUUCGGAUCAAAGGAUUUAUCCGCUUUGGGAGCGGCUCGCGUCGGAUUAGGUAGUUGGUGAGGUAAUGGCUCACCAAGCCGACGAUCCGUAGCUGGUCUGAGAGGAUGACCAGCCAGACUGGAACUGAGACACGGUCCAGACUCCUACGGGAGGCAGCAGUGAGGAAUCUUCCACAAUGGGCGAAAGCCUGAUGGAGCAACGCCGCGUGCAGGACGAAGGCCUUCGGGUUGUAAACUGCUUUUAUAAGUGAGGAAUAUGACGGUAACUUAUGAAUAAGGAUCGGCUAACUACGUG